GGACCCGUGGUGUAGCCUGGCCUAACACGCGUCCCUGUCAAGGACGAGAUCGCCGGUCCGAAUCCGGUCGGGUCCG
rfam:Microgenomates (Woesebacteria) bacterium GW2011_GWA1_43_12 TV66_C0002, whole genome shotgun sequence.